rnacentral:lncRNA from 1 species
GAGUAUACUCCUUUCUGCUUCCCAUCUCAGAGCAGCUGUGUGAUUUCCUGAGGAUUCCAUUUCUGGAGCUAGGGAUAAAAGCUCAUUUAUACACACAACAACCUGCAAGUCUCCAGUUUCAAUUCUUCCUCCCUCCCUCUGCCUUCCCUCCCCCACUUUGAACCAGAGAAGCCAAAUGAGGCGUGCUUUAAACAGUUUCAGGACUAAUCUGAAAGAGGAAGAAGAAUCUGUAUACACUGGCUAGCCUUUGUGCCCUGCCCUCUUUCCUCUUGAAAAUAGCAACAACUCAUCUUUUCAAAAAAGCUUUCAGGCACCCUGUGAAUGGCGUGUACUUUCAAGACCUUCCGGGGUAUUAAGAUUCAUUGUACAGCUCACUAGGGAUGAUUAGCUUUCCAAGGGACCAGUAGAUUGGAUUUACUGAAGACUUGGAACUUGCUUCUGAGAGUGAAUGCAAAAGGAUCAUAAACUGUCAACCUUGAAGUUAGCAGUCUGUGAGACCCUAAGCAGAAGACCCAGCUAACUUGUACCUGAACUCCUGAUCCACAGAAACUAUGAGAAAGAGAGCCAGGACAGAAGAAGCAGCAGCAGGAAUGAAGAGAAACAGAGAGGAAAAUGAUCAAAACUUGGUAUCAGAAUGUAUAAAUAUUAGCUUAGAAGAGUGCAAAAUUGCAAAGGAGUCAUAUCCCUCCUCCCUUCAUGCCCAGAUUCCCAUAUCUGUGCUGUUUUCCUCAUCUGUAAUUUUAAUUUCAUUGUCUUCAGCUUUUGGAUUUCCAUUGCCUUCUUCUCUUUCCCUCUUGCCCCAUCAGCCUUAGUAAAACCCUCCCAGACUCCUUCCAUCUAACUGAGAUGACAGGGUCUGAUAAAUUUUGUCAUUUUAAAAGAAAGAAAAGCCUCUUAGAAAUUCUACAGAGUAGAUUUCAGUCAUCAGUUAAGAUAUGGAUGGAUGAAUUGUUGGUCCUGGUACCCUAAAUCCAUAUGAUCAAGCAGGAUGGUCAUCUCAUACAAGAGAUGAUUAAAAAGAAACUAAGAUGACUUUAGGAGUAUCUACCUCAGAGGAUCUGAAUAAUGGUGAUUAUAUUGCUAGAAUCAGAUAUGCUGUUACUUAUUAUAAAGCAAAAGGAGUAAGGUCAGGGAGAAAGACCUAUGAGCCCUAGAAAGUGGGGCUACUUUACAUCAUAAAAUCAGCACUUAGUUAGAAAUCAUUGUCAAAGCUAGAACUGAAUUGCUGUGUUGCCUUUAGAGGGCCUGAUAAAUCCUGUAUCCUGAGCACUGCUGAAACAUUCAGAGAGGAAUGAAGUGAGUCUUUCUCUCAGACAUUCACCUGAAAUAAACUCAGGAAACAAUUAGUAGUCUUAAAUCAAAUUCACAAAUGACUCAAGUCUCUGUUUCUCUUUACUUAAGCCAUAGAUCUCUUAUCCUGUGUGCUCUUUUUUCUAAGAUGAAAAAUAACCAAGGGGGAAAAUAACAGGAGUUACCCAAUGGUUCAGCAGGUUAAGGAUCCAGCACUGUCACUGUGGCUCAGGCUGUGGCAUGAGUUCUAUCCUUGGCCCCAACUUCCACAAACCAUAGGCAUGGCCAAAAAAGAAAAAGGGGGGAAAGAACAUACCCUGAUCUUCCUUAGUUUAUAGAAUGGCAAACUGAAAGGAAAUUGAGAGAUCAUAUAAAACAACCCUACUGAAUUGCAGUUAAAUGAAGACAUGCCAGGAAGGGAGUGAUUUACUCAAGAACACAGUUAAUCAUCCACCACAACCUGAGAUAUGAGCUAGGUCUUGUGCCUACCAGUCCUACAAAUUUCCACCAUGCACAUUGUCUUUCUCCAUGCAAGAUUCUCUCUGAUUGUGAAAAGACAUCAACAAAAUGAUAUAAAAAUUAAUUAAUUCAAAUAAACCAAUAUUUAAAAGGCACUGUUAUGUACAGCAUGAACUAAAAAAUAAUCAAUAAGACUUGAUUAUUAAGUCUAGUGGAACUGGGGUAGGAAAAAUGGGGAAGUUUAAAUUGAACAACCACAGAGAUGAGCAUGACACGAAGCAAUAAAUGAAAAUUACCAAGAAAAGUACAGACAAAAUAAUGUAGAAUUUCAAAGGAGAGAAAUAUUGAAUUGAGAAGAUCAGAAAUAGCUUUUUGUUUUAAUAAAAGCAGAAAAAAAGAGGCACCAUUGCUAUCUUCAUGUAAUAGAAGACAUUAGCCUGGGGACUUCCUGGGGACACUUAAAGAUCUCCCUGGACCACAUUUAGAAGGCACAACAGUACAUAAAUCUUUUAUAGGUAGCUUUAUUGUAGCAAAAAUAAAGUGUAUGGCAUAUGAAUUGGGACUUUAUAUUAGAUUAUCUCUGGAAACUCUUACUUGUUCACUGGAACUUGACAAGGUUACAGAUUCAAUGGAGGCUAAGGGCUGAUGCAAAGUGAGUAGAUGAUGAUGAAGAAGAAGAUAGAUAUAGAUAGAUGAUAUAGAUAGUUUUACAUGGACUUAAGAUGAGCUAAAUAAAAGAUCUGAGUAACUCCUGAAUUAAGUAAUGGAACACAAAGGUUAUAUAUUCAUGCAUAAGAGUGGUAGAAUCUAUUUUCGGCAGAAGCUGCUGUCAGAGACCAGAGUUCUCAAGUAAACCAAAAAAAAAAAAAAAAAAAAAAAAAAAG